GACGAACGCUGGCGGCGUGCUUAACACAUGCAAGUCGAACGGAAAGGCCCCUUUGGGGGUACUCGAGUGGCGAACGGGUGAGUAACACGUGAGUAACCUGCCCUUGACUUCGGGAUAACUUCAGGAAACUGGGGCUAAUACCGGAUAGGAAUCCUUGCUGCAUGGUGGGGGUUGGAAAGCUUCGGCGGUUUUGGCUGGACUAGCGGCUUAUCAGCUUGUUGGUGGGGUAGUGGCUUACCAAGGCUUUGACGGGUAGCCGGCCUGGGAGGGCGACCGGCCACAUUGGGACUGAGAUACGGCCCAGACUCCUACGGGAGGCAGCAGUGGGGAAUAUUGCACAAUGGGCGGAAGCCUGAUGCAGCAACGCCGCGUGCGGGAUGACGGCCUUCGGGUUGUAAACCGCUUUCAGCAGGGGCGAAGCUUGUGGUGACGGUACCUGCAGAAGAAGCACCGGCUAACUACGUG
rnacentral:rRNA from 1 species